rnacentral:lncRNA from 1 species
AUUCAUACUCUGGCCAGAGAUUCUUAAUCAUAUCAUAGAGUAUUCUCCCUCAAAUGGUUUGAAGGCUAGAGAUCUCUUGUUGCGCAUUCACUUACCUCCGUGGCUAAGUGGCUUAACCCCAACUAUGUCGUGGACACCCUCUGACGGAGUGACUUUGACAUAGUCAAAGAUCAAGGACCUAACCACAAGACAACUAUGAUGCCUUAGGUCAAAUGACUACUUUGCAUUAUCCCAACCAUGAGUUCUCAUGUGACAUGAGUAUGAAAACUCCUCGUUGAUCGUGUUCAAUGGACUCAUUCUUUAUUGAGCACCUACAUGCUUAUCUUGGUGUCAGUCACACCAAUGACUCGAGACCAGUCACUCUCCCUAAGAGAAUACAUAAUACGUAUUGAUCUUAACGGACUAUCUAUGCCCAAUUGGCAAUCAUAUGAUCAUGAAUGUUUAGGAUAUGUUUACGAAAGAGAAUGGUCUCAUGAAUUUAACUUCUUUAGAUCACAUUCUCCCAAUUGCAUAUUCCUUGGACUUAUUGUUUAAGCAUAUAACAUUUAUAUGAGACGGCUUAAAACAAUAAUCUUUGCUCUUUAUAUUAAACUAGAUUAGUUUAAUAUGUGAAAUGUCCGUAAAGUAUCAUCAUAUGAUUGGUUUUAGGGCACAUUUCCAACAAUUCUUGCCUAUAAUUGUAAUCAGAACUUUUUAUAUGUCUUAUAUCAUUACAAUUUAAACAUGUUACUUUAUUACUUUUAUCUGGGAAAUAGCUACACUUAUUACAUCUUUCUGUCAUAAAACCUGAGUAUUUUUUAAAUUUAUGAAUA